rnacentral:rRNA from 1 species
GAUCAUGGCUCAGAACGAACGCUGGCGGCGCGUUUAAGCAUGCAAGUCGAGCGGCAAGGGCCUUCGGGCCCCUAGAGCGGCGGACGGGUGAGUAACACGUGGACAAUCUGCCCCCCGGCCCGGGAUAGCCCAGGGAAACCUGGAUUAAUACCGGAUGAGACGGGACCCGCGAUGGCGGGACCCGGGAAAGGCGCUGCGGCGCCGCCGGGGGAUGAGUCUGCGUCCCAUUAGCUAGACGGCGGGUAACGGCCCACCGUGGCGACGAUGGGUAGCCGGCCUGAGAGGGUGGACGGCCACAUUGGAACUGAGACACGGUCCAGACUCCUACGGGAGGCAGCAGCUAAGAAUCUUCCGCAAUGGGCGAAAGCCUGACGGAGCCGACGCCGCGUGAACGAAGAAGGCCGUGAGGUUGUAAAGUUCUUUUCGGGAGGGGGAACAACCGUGGCAGGGAAUGGCCGCGGGAUGACGUGAAUCCCGGAAUAAGCCCCGGCUAACUACGUGCCAGCAGCCGC